GUGGAACUCCCGAUGUGGCUGCGCCCUUCUGUGUAUAAAGGAUGGGCUAGAGCAUUUCAUUCAAACUUGGAAGAAGUAGCACUGCCUUUGGAAGAAUAUGCAUCUUUACGGGAGUUCUUUGUCAGAAGAUUGAAAGAGGGUACCCGACCUAUUGAUCCGGAUCCCUGUUGUCUGGUAACUGAUUAGUCCAGUUGAUGGAACUGUUCUACAAUUCGGAGAGUUGAAAGAAGUUGGGGCUAUGAUUGAGCAAGUCAAAGGAUUUUCUUAUUCUGUUUCUUCGCUUCUUGGUGCCAGCUCCCUCCUUCCCAUGAAUGUGGUUGAUGACAACACAAAUCAAGAUGGUGGGCAAGAAGGUUCUAUGGAUGAUACGAAUCAGAAGU
rnacentral:misc_RNA from 1 species